rnacentral:rRNA from 1 species
GACAGAGGCCUCGAGCGUUAGGCGGAAUCACUGGGCUUAAAGCGUGUGUAGGCGGACCCCUAAGUGUCUUGUGAAAUCCCACGGCUCACCCGUGGAACCGCUGGGCAUACUGGGGGUCUUGGGCCAUUCGGGGGCGACUGGAACAAGCGGUGGAGCGGUGAAAUGCGUAGAUAUCGCUUGGAACGCCGACGGUGAAAACAGGUCGCUGGGAAUGUGCCGACGCUGAGACACGAAAGCCAGGGGAGCAAACGGG